GAAGACAGAAGACAGAAGACAAAAGACAAAAGCCACAACAAGCAACAAAGGCUUCUCCAUCAAUUUGGUGGGGGUGGAAUGGAGGAGGAAACUAAAAAUGGUUAUCCUUCUCCAUCGUCGUCGCCUCCAACGCCUCCCUCCCCCCUCCCCAUAAGCGUAGGACCAGGCAACCAAAAGUACGUCUUCUCUUCUUCUCCAUCCCCUUCCCCGCCCUUCUCAAACCAUACGUCCGCCGAGAAUCUCCCUCUUUUGCAUCACAAGUUGUCUGGUACUGCUGUGCCCUUUGCCAUUUCCUUGGAUCCUCCUCCUCCAGAGCCCCAUCAUCAUCAUUUGGAUUCUAACUCCUCUUGCCUCAAAGACUUGCUAGAAUGGUUUAUACAAAAAUGCUGCAAUUGCUGCUCAAGGCCUCUCUGAAUUUUGAUAUGCUGGAAGAUGCAAAGCUCGUCCCAAAGAUGUAUAGAGCACUGACUUCGCCUCAUUGCUGACAUCUCUGCUAACUCAUUACAAAGUCGUUUCUUUUCCUUUUGUUUUAGGACAAACCUCAAAUCAUUUUGUCUUUUGUCUUUUUGUUUUUUUCCUCACCAUUUCAGAGGAUCUCUGCUACCAAAUGUCAAUGGGUGAAGUAAUGUAACCAUUCUUCAAACUUGCAAAUGUUUUAAGAAUUAUGACAAUUCUUUUAUCCCUUUCUUCUCA